UACGUAGGUGGCAAGCGUUAUCCGGAAUUAUUGGGCGUAAAGAGCGCGCAGGUGGUUGAUUAAGUCUGAUGUGAAAGCUCACGGCUUAACCGUGGAGGGUCAUUGGAAACUGGUCGACUUGAGUGCAGAAGAGGGAAGUGGAAUUCCAUGUGUAGCGGUGAAAUGCGUAGAGAUAUGGAGGAACACCAGUGGCGAAGGCGGCUUCCUGGUCUGUAACUGACACUGAGGCGCGAAAGCGUGGGGAGCAAACAGGAUUAGAUA
rnacentral:rRNA from 1 species